UACAGUCAUAUCUACAUUGAAAUACCUAUUCCCGUACGAUCACAGAAGUUAAGCUACGUCGAGCCUGGUCAGUACCUAGAUGGGUGAAUGCUUCGAAAUACCAGAUAGUGUA